rnacentral:rRNA from 1 species
GUCGAGAAUCUUUCACAAUGGGGGCAACCCUGAUGGAGCGACGCCGCGUGGAGGAUAAGGUCUUCGGAUUGUAAACUCCUGUCAUGCGUGAACAAGGUUGCUUGGUUAAUACCUGGGCACAUUGAUGGUAACGCAAGAGGAAGAGACGGCUAACUCUGUGCCAGCAGCCGCGGUAAUACAGAGGUCUCAAGCGUUGUUCGGAAUCACUGGGCGUAAAGGGUGCGUAGGUGGCGUGGUAAGUCAGAUGUGAAAGCCCGGGGCUCAACCUCGGAACUGCAUCCGAUACUGCCAUGCUAGAGUACUGGAGAGGUGACUAGAAUUCUCGGUGUAGCAGUGAAAUGCGUAGAUAUCGAGAGGAAUACCAAAGGCGUAGGCAGGUCACUGGACAGUUACUGACACUGAGGCACGAAGGCCAGGGGAGCGAACGGGAUUAGAAACCCCGGUAGUCC